CAUAAACGACUCUCGGCAACGGAUAUCUCGGCUCACGCAUCGAUGAAGAACGUAGCAAAAUGCGAUACUUGGUGUGAAUUGCAGAAUCCCGUGAACCAUCGAGUUUUUGAACGCAAGUUGCGCUCGAAGCCUUUUGGCUGAGG
rnacentral:rRNA from 1 species